CGAACGGUUGUCUGACAGCCACAAGUCUCCUUUAGCAGUGAGUAUGCCGUUCACAUCAUGAGAUGUCCACACAGUAAGAUCUCUUCCCUGUAUCGUUUUAACUACUUCAGAAACUAAGACUGCUACUGCUGCCACUACCCGUAAACAAUGAGGCCAACAUUUUGCCACUACAUCAAUUUCCUUACUCAGUUUUCUUUAACUGUCAGGAAAUAAAUGAGACAGCAUUCUGAGAAGGAUCUAGAGGUGCCACCACGAACAUUCUGAAGGAGGCUGAUAGAGCGGACAACCCACCAAGUCUGGGAGUUGACUUGACAGCCCUGCCCACGAGAAGCUGGCUAAGACAGCACAGUAGAAAUGUGGCCUGAAGAUUGGGGCACAAACACAGCACAAAUCUAUCAUAACCGAGUCUUAAAUUUGCUUUACAUGUGAAAACCAUAUACUCACACACCAACAAGAACUCACCCCAGCUGGCCUAAGCUAAGGAAUCUACAGUCCUUGGAAAAAGAACAAGUCAGAAGAAAGAACUUCAGGAUCCUUCCAGCUGUUUCCCAUGAUUUAUCAUUCUUACAGUGUAGCCGCUUCAAAAUACUUUUUUAACUUCAUGCUAUGAAUUCCAAACACAUUUAAGGUUAACCUCUGUCUUUGGUGUGAUAUAAGACCACUUAUGCCACUCUGCUUUUUCUUGGUUGGCUUUUACAUUUCCUUUCAUGCAUGCCCUGUUUUCCAGUAAAGUAACCCUAUCCCAGGGCCUUUGACUAGCUCUACUUUUGAAUCAACUAAUAUUUGCUGUUUCCACGUGGCAGGUGUGACCUUAGGCCAGGUGCUAUGAGUUAAACAAAGAUGAAUGAGACUUGGACCCUGCCCUUAAAUAUUCAAACCAGCUAAGGGUUGGUGGUUAAACUCUGGACUCAGACAGACCUGGGGUGGAAUUCCGGCUUCUCUACCUACCAGCUUGGGCAAGUUAUUUACAUUCUUCUAAAUUCCCCCCUUUUUUU
rnacentral:lncRNA from 10 species